rnacentral:rRNA from 1 species
AUUGAACGCUGGCGGCAGGCCUAACACAUGCAAGUCGAACGAGUGGCGGACGGGUGAGUAAUGUCUGGGAAACUGCCUGAUGGAGGGGGAUAACUACUGGAAACGGUAGCUAAUACCGCAUACCAUCGGAUGUGCCCAGAUGGGAUUAGCUUGUUGGUGGGGUAACGGCUCACCAAGGCGACGAUCCCUAGCUGGUCUGAGAGGAUGACCAGCCACACUGGAACUGAGACACGGUCCAGACUCCUACGGGAGGCAGCAGUGGGGAAUAUUGCACAAUGGGGGCAAGCCUGAUGCAGCCAUGCCGCGUGUAUGAAGAAGGCCUUCGGGUUGUAAAGUACUUUCGGCGGGGAGGCGGUACCCGCAGAAGAAGCACCGGCUAACUCCGUGCCAGCCGCCGCGGUAAUUC